rnacentral:rRNA from 1 species
CAACAGGGAUUGCCUCAGUAACGGCGAGUGAAGCGGCAACAGCUCAAAUUUGAAAUCUGGCCCUUUCAGGGUCCGAGUUGUAAUUUGCAGAGGGUGCUUUGGCGUUGGCCGUGGUCUAAGUUCCUUGGAACAGGACGUCACAGAGGGUGAGAAUCCCGUACGUGGCCGCCGGUCUUCGCCGUGUAAAGCCCCUUCGACGAGUCGAGUUGUUUGGGAAUGCAGCUCUAAAUGGGAGAUACAUUUCUUCUAAAGCUAAAUAUUGGCCAGAGACCGAUAGCGCACAAGUAGAGUGAUCGAAAGAUGAAAAGCACUUUGGAAAGAGAGUCAAAAAGCACGUGAAAUUGUUGAAAGGGAAGCGCUUGCAGCCAGACGUGCCCGCAGUUGCUCACCCAGGCUCUUGCCUGGGGCACUCUUCUGCGGGCAGGCCAGCAUCAGUUCGGGCGGUUGGAUAAAGGUCUCUAUCACGUACCACCCUUCGGGGUGUCCUUAUAGGGGAGACGCAACACGGCCAGCCUGAACUGAGGACCGCGCAUCAGCUAGGAUGCUGGCGUAAUGGCUGUAAGCGGCCCGUCUUGAAACACGGACCAAGGAGUCUAACAUCUAUGCGAGUGUUUGGGUGUAAAGCCCGGGCGCGCAAUGAAAGUGAACGGAGGUGGGAACCCUUUGGGUGCACCAUCGACCGAUCCUGAAGUCUUCGGAUGGAUUUGAGUAAGAGCAUAGCUGUUGGGACCCGAAAGAUGGUGAACUAUGCCUGAAUAGGGUGAAGCCAGGGGAAACCCUGGUGGAGGCUCGCAGCGGUUCUGACGUGCAAAUCGAUCGUCAAAUUUGGGCAUAGGGGCGAAAGACUAAUCGAACCA